CUCCACAGGGGACCCAGAGAUGAAUCAGACAUGGAUCCUGCCCUCGAGGAACUUACUGUCUAGUGACAGAAAGUGCCAAGUACCACAAGGCAAAUAUUUCCCGGCUACAGAUGCGGAAGUGAGAUGGGUAGAAUUGAGAAUGGGGCUUAGUGCUAGGAGCUGGACCUGCGUCAGGGACCUUGACUCCUCCAAGAGAAUGUUUCUGAAUUCCUUUGCUAUCAUCAGCACUGUGCAGGAGCUUCUGACAGCUCCAACGGAACCACGUUGUAGCCAAGGAAUGGCUAUGUCAUUUUCAUUCUUUCAACUAAUGGCAAAAAUGACCGCAGGGUGACUGUAGAAUUCAUCAAACUUGUCUACAUCAUUAAAAACAUUUAAUACUUAG